UUCCGGUUGAUCCUGCCGGAGGCUACCGCUAUUGGAGUUCGAUUAAGCCAUGCGAGUCGCGAGAAUUAGAUUCUCGGCGUACCGCUCAGUAACACGUGGGUAACCUGCCCUAUGCUGGAUAAUAACCUCGGGAAACUGAGAAUAAUGAUCUAUAGUUCACUACGCCUGGAACGGUGAGUGGAUGAAAGCUCCGGCGGCAUAGGAUGGGCCUGCGGCGUAUCAGGUUGUAGGGGGUGUAAUGUACCCUCUAGCCCUCUACGCGUACGGGUGUUGAGAGACAUCGCCCGGAGAUGGAUUCUGAGACACGAAUCCAGACCCUACGGGGUGCAGCAGGCGCGAAAACUUGGCAAUGCGAGAAAUCGUGACCAGGGAACUCCAAGUGCAUGGGGUAAGACCUAUGCUUUUCUAGACUCUAAAAAGGUCUUGGAAUAAGAGGUGGGUAAGGACGGUGCCAGCCGCCGCGGUAAUACCGGCGCCUCAAGUGGUAGUCGCUUUUAUUGGGCCUAAAACGUCCGUAGCCGGUCUGAUACAUUCGUGGGUAAAUCAACCAGCUUAACUGGUUGAAUUCUGCGAGGACGGUCAGACUUGGGACCGGGAGAGGUGUGGGGUACGCUCAGGGUAGGGGUAAAAUCCUGUCAUCCUGAGCGGACCACCUGUUGCGAAGGCGCCACACUAGAACGGAUCCGACGGUCAGGGACGAAGCCUAGGGGCACGAACCGGAUUAGAUACCCGGGUAGUCCUAGGUGUAAACGCUGUGGACUUGAUGUUGGGGGUGCUCCGAGCACUCUCAGUGUCGAAGCGAAGGCGAUAAGUCCACUGCCUGGGAAGUACGGUCGCAAGGCUGAAACUUAAAGGAAUUGGCGGGGGAGCACCGCAACCUGAGGAUUGUGCGGUUUAAUUGGAUUCAACGCCGGA
rnacentral:rRNA from 1 species